CCUACGGGAGGCAGCAGUGGGGAAUAUUGCGCAAUGGGGGGAACCCUGACGCAGCAACGCCGCGUGAGUGAAGAAGGCCUUCGGGUCGUAAAGCUCUGUCAUUGGGGACGAAGGAGUGACGGUACCCAAGGAGGAAGCCCCGGCUAACUACGUGCCAGCAGCCGCGGUAAUACGUAGGGGGCGAGCGUUGUCCGGAAUUACUGGGCGUAAAGGGUGCGUAGGCGGCCUCAGAAGUCAGGUGUGAAAUACCGUGGCUUAACCACGGGGGUGCAUUUGAAACUUUGAGGCUUGAGUGCAGGAGAGGAAAGUGGAAUUCCUAGUGUAGCGGUGAAAUGCGUAGAGAUUAGGAGGAACACCAGUGGCGAAGGCGACUUUCUGGACUGUAACUGACGCUGAUGCACGAAAGCGUGGGUAGCGAACAGGCUUAGAUACCCUGGUAGUC
rnacentral:rRNA from 2 species